ACCAUUGGAAGGCGCUGUGGUUAAGAGUACAGAUUCCAAGAUACAGAGAGGAUUAGCAUGGCCCCUGGGCAAGGAUGACACGCAAAUUCAUGAAGCAUUCCAUAUUUUA